rnacentral:rRNA from 1 species
UUAAGCGACUAAGCGUACACGGUGGAUGCCCUGGCAGUCAGAGGCGAUGAAGGACGUGCUAAUCUGCGAUAAGCGUCGGUAAGGUGAUAUGAACCGUUAUAACCGGCGAUUUCCGAAUGGGGAAACCCAGUGUGAUUCGUCACACUAUCAUUAACUGAAUCCAUAGGUUAAUGAGGCGAACCGGGGGAACUGAAACAUCUAAGUACCCCGAGGAAAAGAAAUCAACCGAGAUUCCCCCAGUAGCGGCGAGCGAACGGGGAGCAGCCCAGAGCCUGAAUCAGUGUGUGUGUUAGUGGAAGCGUCUGGAAAGGCGCGCGAUACAGGGUGACAGCCCCGUACACAAAAAUGCACAUGCUGUGAGCUCGAUGAGUAGGGCGGGACACGUGGUAUCCUGUCUGAAUAUGGGGGGACCAUCCUCCAAGGCUAAAUACUCCUGACUGACCGAUAGUGAACCAGUACCGUGAGGGAAAGGCGAAAAGAACCCCGGCGAGGGGAGUGAAAAAGAACCUGAAACCGUGUACGUACAAGCAGUGGGAGCCUCUUUAUGGGGUGACUGCGUACCUUUUGUAUAAUGGGUCAGCGACUUAUAUUCUGUAGCAAGGUUAACCAAAUAGGGGAGCCGAAGGGAAACCGAGUCUUAACUGGGCGUUAAGUUGCAGGGUAUAGACCCGAAACCCGGUGAUCUAGCCAUGGGCAGGUUGAAGGUUGGGUAACACUAACUGGAGGACCGAACCGACUAAUGUUGAAAAAUUAGCGGAUGACUUGUGGCUGGGGGUGAAAGGCCAAUCAAACCGGGAGAUAGCUGGUUCUCCCCGAAAGCUAUUUAGGUAGCGCCUCGUGAAUUCAUCUCCGGGGGUAGAGCACUGUUUCGGCAAGGGGGUCAUCCCGACUUACCAACCCGAUGCAAACUGCGAAUACCGGAGAAUGUUAUCACGGGAGACACACGGCGGGUGCUAACGUCCGUCGUGAAGAGGGAAACAACCCAGACCGCCAGCUAAGGUCCCAAAGUCAUGGUUAAGUGGGAAACGAUGUGGGAAGGCCCAGACAGCCAGGAUGUUGGCUUAGAAGCAGCCAUCAUUUAAAGAAAGCGUAAUAGCUCACUGGUCGAGUCGGCCUGCGCGGAAGAUGUAACGGGGCUAAACCAUGCACCGAAGCUGCGGCAGCGACGCUCAUGCGUUGUUGGGUAGGGGAGCGUUCUGUAAGCCUGCGAAGGUGUACUGUGAGGUAUGCUGGAGGUAUCAGAAGUGCGAAUGCUGACAUAAGUAACGAUAAAGCGGGUGAAAAGCCCGCUCGCCGGAAGACCAAGGGUUCCUGUCCAACGUUAAUCGGGGCAGGGUGAGUCGACCCCUAAGGCGAGGCCGAAAGGCGUAGUCGAUGGGAAACAGGUUAAUAUUCCUGUACUUGGUGUUACUGCGAAGGGGGACGGAGAAGGCUAUGUUGGCCGGGCGACGGUUGUCCCGGUUUAAGCGUGUAGGCUGGUUUUCCAGGCAAAUCCGGAAAAUCAAGGCUGAGGCGUGAUGACGAGGCACUACGGUGCUGAAGCAACAAAUGCCCUGCUUCCAGGAAAAGCCUCUAAGCAUCAGGUAACAUCAAAUCGUACCCCAAACCGACACAGGUGGUCAGGUAGAGAAUACCAAGGCGCUUGAGAGAACUCGGGUGAAGGAACUAGGCAAAAUGGUGCCGUAACUUCGGGAGAAGGCACGCUGAUAUGUAGGUGAAGCGACUUGCUCGUGGAGCUGAAAUCAGUCGAAGAUACCAGCUGGCUGCAACUGUUUAUUAAAAACACAGCACUGUGCAAACACGAAAGUGGACGUAUACGGUGUGACGCCUGCCCGGUGCCGGAAGGUUAAUUGAUGGGGUUAGCGGCAACGCGAAGCUCUUGAUCGAAGCCCCGGUAAACGGCGGCCGUAACUAUAACGGUCCUAAGGUAGCGAAAUUCCUUGUCGGGUAAGUUCCGACCUGCACGAAUGGCGUAAUGAUGGCCAGGCUGUCUCCACCCGAGACUCAGUGAAAUUGAACUCGCUGUGAAGAUGCAGUGUACCCGCGGCAAGACGGAAAGACCCCGUGAACCUUUACUAUAGCUUGACACUGAACAUUGAGCCUUGAUGUGUAGGAUAGGUGGGAGGCUUUGAAGUGUGGACGCCAGUCUGCAUGGAGCCGACCUUGAAAUACCACCCUUUAAUGUUUGAUGUUCUAACGUUGGCCCCUUAUCGGGGUUGCGGACAGUGUCUGGUGGGUAGUUUGACUGGGGCGGUCUCCUCCUAAAGAGUAACGGAGGAGCACGAAGGUUGGCUAAUCCUGGUCGGACAUCAGGAGGUUAGUGCAAUGGCAUAAGCCAGCUUGACUGCGAGCGUGACGGCGCGAGCAGGUGCGAAAGCAGGUCAUAGUGAUCCGGUGGUUCUGAAUGGAAGGGCCAUCGCUCAACGGAUAAAAGGUACUCCGGGGAUAACAGGCUGAUACCGCCCAAGAGUUCAUAUCGACGGCGGUGUUUGGCACCUCGAUGUCGGCUCAUCACAUCCUGGGGCUGAAGUAGGUCCCAAGGGUAUGGCUGUUCGCCAUUUAAAGUGGUACGCGAGCUGGGUUUAGAACGUCGUGAGACAGUUCGGUCCCUAUCUGCCGUGGGCGCUGGAGAACUGAGGGGGGCUGCUCCUAGUACGAGAGGACCGGAGUGGACGCAUCACUGGUGUUCGGGUUGUCAUGCCAAUGGCACUGCCCGGUAGCUAAAUGCGGAAGAGAUAAGUGCUGAAAGCAUCUAAGCACGAAACUUGCCCCGAGAUGAGUUCUCCCUGACCCUUUAAGGGUCCUGAAGGAACGUUGAAGACGACGACGUUGAUAGGCCGGGUGUGUAAGCGCAGCGAUGCGUUGAGCUAACCGGUACUAAUGAACCGUGAGGCUUAACCUU